rnacentral:rRNA from 1 species
AUUGAACGCUGGCGGCAGGCCUAACACAUGCAAGUCGAACGGUAACAGGAAACAGCUUGCUGUUUCGCUGACGAGUGGCGGACGGGUGAGUAAUGUCUGGGAAACUGCCUGAUGGAGGGGGAUAACUACUGGAAACGGUAGCUAAUACCGCAUAACGUCGCAAGUCCAAAGAGGGGGACCUUCGGGCCUCUUGCCAUCGGAUGUGCCCAGAUGGGAUUAGCUAGUAGGUGGGGUAACGGCUCACCUAGGCGACGAUCCCUAGCUGGUCUGAGAGGAUGACCAGCCACACUGGAACUGAGACACGGUCCAGACUCCUACGGGAGGCAGCAGUGGGGAAUAUUGCACAAUGGGCGCAAGCCUGAUGCAGCCAUGCCGCGUGUAUGAAGAAGGCCUUCGGGUUGUAAAGUACUUUCAGCGGGGAUGAAGGGAGUAAAGUUAAUACCUUUGCUCAUUGACGUUACCCGCAGAAGAAGCACCGGCUAACUCCGUG